rnacentral:rRNA from 1 species
CCUACGGGAGGCAGCAGUGGGGAAUAUUGGACAAUGGGCGAAAGCCUGAUCCAGCCAUGCCGCGUGUGUGAAGAAGGUCUUCGGAUUGUAAAGCACUUUAAGUUGGGAGGAAGGGUUGUAGAUUAAUACUCUGCAAUUUUGACGUUACCGACAGAAUAAGCACCGGCUAACUCUGUGCCAGCAGCCGCGGUAAUACAGAGGGUGCAAGCGUUAAUCGGAAUUACUGGGCGUAAAGCGCGCGUAGGUGGUUUGUUAAGUUGGAUGUGAAAUCCCCGGGCUCAACCUGGGAACUGCAUUCAAAACUGACUGACUAGAGUAUGGUAGAGGGUGGUGGAAUUUCCUGUGUAGCGGUGAAAUGCGUAGAUAUAGGAAGGAACACCAGUGGCGAAGGCGACCACCUGGACUAAUACUGACACUGAGGUGCGAAAGCGUGGGGAGCAAACAGGAUUAGAUACCCUGGUAGUCCACGCCGUAAACGAUGUCAACUAGCCGUUGGAAGCCUUGAGCUUUUAGUGGCGCNGCUACGACAUUAAGUUAGUACCGCCGUGGGUAGGUACGGCCGCGAACGGUUAAACGUACGAAUAGAAGUUAGUACGGCGUGAGACGUGACCGACGGACGACGACGAGGGAGGUUAGG